CCCCCUUUGGCGCAGUGGUCAGCGCGCUCCCUUAAACUGCUGCCCUCGGGCGGUAGAAACCAGACAGUUCCGACUGCGUUGGCGGGGAGAGGACCCGGGUUCGAAUCCUGGAAGGGGGA